AACGAACGCUGGCGGCAUGCCUAACACAUGCAAGUCGAACGAGACCUUCGGGUUUAGUGGCGCACGCGUGCGUAACGCGUUGGAACCUGCCCUUAGGUUUGGAAUAACUCCCCGAAAGGGGUCCUAAUACCGGAUAAUGUCUUCCUACCAAAGAUUUAUCGCCUUUGGAUGGGCGCGAGUUGGAUUAGUUGGUUGGUAGUGUAAAAGCCUACCAAGGCGUCGAUCCAUAGCUGGUAUGAGAGGAUGAGCAGCCACACUGGGACUGAGACACGGCCCGGAAUCCUAGGGGAGGAAGGAGUGGGGAAUAUUGGACAAUGGGCGAGAGGCUGAUGCAGCAAUGCCGGGAGAGUGAUGAAGGCGGGAGGGAUGGAAAGCUAGUUUACACGGGAUGGUAAUGACGGUACCGGGAGAAUAAGCACCGGCUAACUCCGUG
rnacentral:rRNA from 1 species